AUCCAGAUGACGAGUCCAAAAUAGGACGAAACGUGCAUCCUGGAU
rnacentral:hammerhead_ribozyme from 1 species